CAUCUGUGCAUGUGCAGCAGCCACACCUGUGCAUGUGCAGAAGCACACCUGUGCAUGUGCAGGAGCCACACCUGUGCAUGUGCAGGAGCCACACCUGUGCAUAGUCUCAGCCCUUUCCCCGGGAGCCAGACCUCACCCAGAAAUCCCAAGGUUCAAGAUCUUCUUUAACAAACCAGAAAACGCAGGCCAAACCCUAAUCCAUCAUGUCGGUUUAGGCAUGCUGCCUCCUGGAAACCACAGUGUUAUGUGCAGAUACUUCAGCAGGUCCUUGUUCCAAGACAGAAGCAGAAGUUGUCCUCUUUAGUGAAGGGAGCAGCUGAUAUUUCAUUUUCUUGCCACAGGGCAUGUUGACAGAAGAACAAGUGUCUCUGUAGAAAGUCAUCUCCAAAUUCACCCCUUGCCCGAAGUUCUUCCCAUUUUAAACAAACAAAGAAAAUUUAAGGUGUGUAUCCAAAAGUUCUUGACUUGGGUACAGUGCAUUCCUGAGAUGGCCCUCUUUGGGAGUACGGGAGGCUAGCUGGAAGAAUUCCAAGGAAAAGAAUUUUCCACAAAAUUCAAGAUUGUAGAAACUUAGAGAAGGUUGAUGAAAACACAGGAAGCCUAGUGGGCAGGCUUCUGCCUAGGGCAGAACCCACAAAUCAGGGCAUCUGUUCGGAAGGUCUGGAUGAACACCCAUCAUGCAUUAGUGCAGUAGAGUUUAGUAACCAGCUUUAGCCAAUCUUGCCAGUUGUGCAGAAAACGAGGCCCAGUACUAGCAAGUCUUAGCAUAUGCUCCCUUUUUAUUAUAAAUGGGUGGUUUUUUUUAUAAUUUUUACUGAUGCUCAGUAACCAUGCAAAACUGUGCACAUCCAUGUACUAAUAGAUCUGUCCCUAUCUCUGUAUGCAUAUAUAUCAGCUCACUGUAGAAACCCACAGCUUCCGAGCAUCGCAGACUCAUGCAAACCAAGUGAUCUUGUUUACAGUAACCGUCAACAGUGCCAAUAAGUGGUUGAGGACACUAACAAUGUCACAGUGUAACUGGUGACCACAUGCAGUCCCAUGAAUUAAAUGUUUCCUGUGUUAAUCAGUAUUCUUAAAUUAAAAGAAAACGUUUAUAAUGGAG
ensembl:lncRNA